GAUUAAGCCAUGCAUGUGUAAGUAUAAAUAGUUAACUUUGAAACUGCGAAUGGCUCAUUAUAUCAGUUAUAGUUUAUUUGAUGAAGAAUACUAAUUGGAUAACCGUAGUAAUUCUAGAGCUAAUACAUGUAUAAAGUCUUGUAGACUGCAUUUAUUAGAAUGAAAACCAUAGGUUUCGGCCUAUUCGUGAGUAAUAAUAACUAAUCAUAUCGUAUGCAACGAUGUGUCUUUCAAGUUUCUGCCCUAUCAGCUUUCGAUGGUAGUGUAUUGGACUACCAUG
rnacentral:rRNA from 1 species